AGAACAGCUAGCAUUCGCAACGUCGCCAGAUCUUUCGCUGCUCGAGGCCUUUUCUAGAUGGGGUCAGCCGCGCACAUCUGUGUUCGAUUGUGCAUACUUGCCUUCAUUUCGCCAUGGCCCAUUGAGCCCACUGAGUGCAGCCCGCUACAUGAAAGUGAAAGCUAUCACGGAGCUACCAAACUACCAAUGGAUGAAAUGCUCGCACCUGUAACAGUACCAUGCAGAUGCCUCUGCGCCAUGAUCAGCGAGGCCAUGCUACCUGGAGCGAUGCAGGAGUUGUUUUAUCACUGGAUACCGUGUGAGGAAGCAUCGGCCCCUGUGUGUCCUGUCAAAGUAUGCACCCAUGCAAGCCACCACCAUCGGGCACGACGUUUCCGGAGAAGUGCACUUCAAGACAUUGGAAAAUUCAUUCAGCUGGCGCUACCUGGCGGCGACAGAUUGCUCGACAGUUUGUACACCGCAACAAACGGAGCCGUGGGCCUGCGAAAGACAAAAUCAAUUGACUAAAACUUCGACCCAGAGCGAGUGUUUCUGGAAAUGCCUUUGUUACUCACGUUUUCCGCAAAUGAUCCAUAUCCACCCCGCACUAGAACCAAUCAAAUACGGUUAAUAUGACUGAUGAUUAUAGCUUAUCAAAGACCCAGGGCUGAAUUCAAAGUUUUACGCUUUCAUUGGCGCGCCCGAUUUACCAUUGGCCGGCCAGCUUCCCUAAUAGGCGCAACAUCAAGACUACCUGGAAGGUGCUCUUAAAGGCCAAUUGCAACAAAACUUUACUUCGGCUGUGUUCAAAAUUUUACACUUUCAUUGGCAUGGCCUCUUUACGAUUGGCCGGCCAUCUUCCUUAAUAUGUUCAUCAUCAUGAAUGUUUGAAAGGUGCUUUAGGGGGCCAACUGCAACAAAACUUACCUUGGGCUACAUUGCCUCUAACUGCUUAGCUUACACUACCAAUGUAAUCUUGGCAUCGCAGCAGGCCUGGUAAUGGUCUAAUGUUCUUAUUAGCCGCCUUUAAAUAGCGCUAAGCAGACGACGCAUGUACAUGGCGGUGAGCUGUAGUGAUGGGCGUAUAGCGAAAGUUCCAGAACCGUGCACGAGUGCUGAUCUUUCAGUUGCGCCUAAGCGCAACUGGAAGCCCGUCGCUCACUCAAAGUUUGCAAGGGGAUGGGGGUCUCUCUCGGCGCGCUUCCUAUUUGCACAACUGAUUUCACCUGUUGCAAAAACGCCUACACGCUGCAUGGCCGUCAGGUGCUCGAACACGUAGUGGAAUACGAGUGAUGUUUCUGCAGCACACAGCGUUGCAAAGAGGAAAGCCGAACACGUCUUUCCUACCGCAGCUCUCCCAGCGCAAGCUUUCAUCGCGCCACAGCAAGCAUGUGCCAUGCAGUCAAGUCAACACGCACAAAGUAUGUAAACUGCGCUUCAAGCUGCCCAAUCUAUAUUUCGCGAACACGGUCACUUGCCCGUGCAAGAACUUCUUGCCAAACGCUCUCUAGGGAUUACUAUAAGUACUAUAUAAGCCGCUAUUGCGCAGGAAAAGCAAAGCUGUAUUGACCCUUUUGGCCAAGCAGUUUGCUGUAGAAAAACGAGUUGGCGCUUGCGGCAGCGCACCGCACGCUGCCUGAGCGAAAGCACACGAAUACAAUUUCAUUAUCUAUUCUAUCCUCCUUCUGAAUGAAGGGAAAAUCAGACAUCCACCCGUUCGUAGCAAUUGCUACAAAGGAAAUCCAUUCGAGUUCCUUGAAAGAAAAGCCUCAGGGUUGAAGGAAAAUUUGUCCUUGUCCGAGACUUGAAUCCGGGACCACCGCCUUUGCGGAGCAGCCGCUCUACCAUCUGAUCUAACCAGGCGGCUAGCAGAUGGCAGGGCGAAGUCGAGUUUGCCGACAACACGAAGCAAAGACAAGUGUUUGACGUAGUAGUUCUGCGGAAACCCGCAGAUCUACUACGUCACACGAUACUACUAUAAUCCAGUGUCUUGACGAUGCUGUAGCAGAUUCUUUAAAAAUAUUCACCAAAUUUUCUCACGGGCUCAAGUUUACCUCUUAACUCCCCAUUGACAACUGUAUUAAGUUUCUAGAUCUUAAAAUUUUAUAUUCCUCGGAUGACCACGUAUGCUGGACAUACAAUCCAAGAUCAAAGAGAACUGUUUUGCCUUUCGAUAGCGCACCUUGGAAAUUGAUAAAGAGGGUCAUCGCCACCACAUGCAUUCAGUUUGCUUUGAAAAUUCAUGUGUUCACCAAAUAGAGCAUGUCUAUGAAAGUAGACAGAUUGAAACUUCCGGAUUUGCAGUGACUGUAAUUUGAUCUGUCUGUGAAACAUUGCUUCAAAACUAAAAUGAGGAAGGAAGUGCCCAACUAAAGAUCACGACAAAGGACCUGUACAAUAAUUCCCAUACCUGCAUAAAGUUUCACAUAAUUUGAAAAAGGUGGCAAACCGACACAAUGUCAAUCUAGUUUUUUCAACUCCUUGCAAAUUGUCAGCAGUGUGUAACCUUCAAAGCAAGAAGCACCAGAAACGCACGUAGUCACAUGCUCAGCACUGCAAAAAGUAUGCAUGCACACCCACGUUUGGUGACACAACCUUCCUGAAGAAAGGAAACACAAACACAGAAAGAGAAAUAGUUUAGGCAUGUUUUAUAAGGAAAGCAGGCGACAAGUGCCUCAGCUGUACAUCUUUGAUGUUGCAAGAAAAAGAAAUGAUGUUUCUGUCGAGAUAUCUAGGCACUUCAACUGACUGAGCCUACAAUCGUAUGUAUGAUAUGAUUCAUUUCAAUCUUUGUGUGUAUGAUAAUGAGUGCAUGAUGUACGUGAUAAGCAGAGGAUAACUAGCUGCAUAAUGGGAAUAGCGCGAGCAAGAUUA